CGGGCUCGCCGGGGGUCGGGCCCCGGUCGUACCAGCCGGUCUCGUUGUGCCGGUCGAGCGGCGGCACGUCGAUCGACCCGUCGCGGGCCUGACC
rnacentral:tRNA from 1 species